CCUACGGGAGGCAGCAGUGGGGAAUAUUGGACAAUGGGCGCAAGCCUGAUCCAGCAACGCCGCGUGAAGGAAGAAGGCUUUCGGGUUGUAAACUUCUAUUCGCAGGGACGAAGCAAGUGACGGUACCUGAUGAAUAAGCCACGGCCAACUACGUGCCAGCAGCCGCGGUAAUACGUAGGUGGCAAGCGUUAUACGGAUUUACUGGGUGUAAGGGGCGUGUAGACGGGACUGCAAGUCAGGUGUGAAAAGCACGGGCUCAACCUGUGGCCUGCAUUUGAAACUGUGGUUCUUGAGUGUUGGAGAGGCAGGCGGAAUUCCGAGUGUAGCGGUGAAAUGCGUAGAUAUACGGAGGAACACCAGUGGCGAAGGCGGCCUACUGGACAGUAACUGACGCUGAGGCGCGAAAGCGUGGGGAGCAAACAGGAUUAGAUACCCGAGUAGUC
rnacentral:rRNA from 1 species